rnacentral:rRNA from 1 species
UACAGAGGGGGCAAGCGUUGUUCGGAAUUACUGGGCGUAAAGGGCGCGUAGGCGGCCUGCUAAGUCGAACGUGAAAUCCCUGGGCUCAACCCAGGAACUGCGUCCGAUACUGGUUGGCUUGAAUCCGGGAGAGGGAUGUGGAAUUCCAGGUGUAGCGGUGAAAUGCGUAGAUAUCUGGAGGAACACCGGUGGCGAAAGGGCGACAAUCCCUGGGACC